UACGUAGGGACCAAGCGUUGUUCGGAUUUACUGGGCGUAAAGGGCGCGUAGGCGGCGCGGUAAGUCACUUGUGAAAUCUCUGAGCUUAACUCAGAACGGCCAAGUGAUACUGCAGUGCUUGAGUGUGGAAGGGGCAAUCGGAAUUCUUGGUGUAGCGGUGAAAUGCGUAGAUAUCAAGAGGAACACCUGAGGUGAAGACGGGUUGCUGGGCCAACACUGACGCUGAGGCGCGAAAGCCAGGGGAGCAAACGGG
rnacentral:rRNA from 1 species